UAAUAAGUGUUUUAUGGCACUUUCUAAAUCCAUAUCCACCUUGUGUGCAAUGUCAGUCGAUCUUCUUCAUGGAGAUCGACCAAACAUCAACCUUUAUCUUUUAACAUCUUUGUCUGAAAAAUAUUAUGAAUAAACAAUUCAAAAUA
rnacentral:misc_RNA from 1 species